rnacentral:rRNA from 1 species
UACGUAGGGUGCAGGCGUUAACCGGAAUUACUGGGCGUAAAGCGUGCGCAGGCGGCUCCUUAAGUCAGAUGUGAAAGCCCCGGGCUUAACCUGGGAACUGCGUUUGAAACUGGGGAGCUAGAGUGUAGAAGAGGGGGGUGGAAUUCCAGGUGUAGCAGUGAAAUGCGUAGAGAUCUGGAGGAACACCGAUGGCGAAGGCAGCCCCCUGGGCUAACACUGACGCUCAUGCACGAAAGCGUGGGGAGCAAACAGG